rnacentral:rRNA from 1 species
UAGACCGUCGUGAGACAGGUUAGUUUUACCCUACUGAUGGAGGGUCGUCGUAAUGGUAAUUGAACUUAGUACGAGAGGAACCGUUCAUUCAGAUAUUUGGUAUUUGCGCCUGUCCGAUCGGGCAAUGGCGCGAAGCUAUCAUCUGCUGGAUAAUGGCUGAACGCCUCUAAGCCAGAAUCCGUGCCAGAAACGACGAUGUUGGUCCCGCGUGUACUAGACGUGUUGGAAUAGAG